rnacentral:rRNA from 1 species
AUUGAACGCUGGCGGCAUGCCUUACACAUGCAAGUCGAACGGUAACGGGCCUUCGGGUGCCGACGAGUGGCGAACGGGUGAGUAAUGUAUCGGAACGUACCUUUCAGUGGGGGAUAACGUAGCGAAAGUUACGCUAAUACCGCAUAUUCUGUGCGCAGGAAAGCAGGGGAUCGCAAGACCUUGCGCUGAUUGAGCGGCCGAUAUCAGAUUAGCUAGUUGGUGAGGUAAAGGCUCACCAAGGCGACGAUCUGUAGCGGGUCUGAGAGGAUGAUCCGCCACACUGGAACUGAGACACGGUCCAGACUGCUACGGGAGGCAGCAGUGGGGAAUUUUGGACAAUGGGGGCAACCCUGAUCCAGCCAUGCCGCGUGAGUGAAGAAGGCCUUCGGGUUGUAAAGCUCUUUCGGCCGAGAAGAAAUCGUAUCAGCUAAUACCUGGUGUGGAUGACGGUACCGGCAUAAGAAGCACCGGCUAACUACGUGCCAGCCGCCGCCGUAACAC